CUGUCGUUGAUGAAAUCGAGACAUCAGGUUACACGUCGGCUGACCCCUCGGGUGACUGAGCUGAACUACCCGUGGACGCUAGUGUAGGUCACCUGACCCUAUAGAAAUGGUGACUAGCUUGACAACUUGAUCUCAUACAAGCUCUUACCAACUGUUAUCCUGCAAUCUCCCAGCUCAUCAAUACUAGUUCAUCACUAGUCCCUCAAUUUCAUAGUUUUAUAUACGGAGGGCGCUAUCAAAAGAAUUGCGCCGGCAAAAAGACAACUAGACAGCACCACAAAUCUUGGCAGAAAUUCACACUGUAUUUUAUACUGAAUACUCAGCUCUUGAUUAUUCCUUGUCUCCACUGCCAUUCAACAUGGAAUCUGUCUGCCAAUCUGUGUGCCAAUCUGCCACCCUGCAGAAUCAGAUAAAUAUUUGAUUCCUUCACCUGCCCAUGCUGUCUUCCUUCUCUAUACUCAUUGCCAUCUUCUAACUCUAUAAUCUUUUCAAUAUACACAGGAAUCCACUCAAUCCAUGUCUGUAUCUUCUCUUGUGGCAGAUUCUUCCAUGCCUGCUCCCAUACUCUAACUGCUUCUGUAUGAUUCUUAGGAGCUCCUUUUCUUGUUGUUCUGCACUUCAUCCAAGGCCAAGCUGCCUCAAUUGCAUUGAGAUCAGAUGAAUUCCCACACCAAAGCAGCUGUUGAAUCCCAUCAUAUUUGAGAGGAAGGAGGAAUCAAUUCAGAAUACAUGGCAUUCUCAUAUAAAUAGAAUGUGGGG
rnacentral:sRNA from 2 species